rnacentral:rRNA from 1 species
UACGGGAGGCAGCAGUGGGGAAUAUUGGACAAUGGGCGCAAGCCUGAUCCAGCAAUGCCGCGUGUGUGAAGAAGGUCUUCGGAUUGUAAAGCACUUUCGACGGGGACGAUGAUGACGGUACCCGUAGAAGAAGCCCCGGCUAACUUCGUGCCAGCAGCCGCGGUAAUACGAAGGGGGCUAGCGUUGCUCGGAAUGACUGGGCGUAAAGGGCGCGUAGGCGGUUUGGACAGUCAGAUGUGAAAUUCCUGGGCUUAACCUGGGGGCUGCAUUUGAUACGUAUAGACUAGAGUGUGAGAGAGGGUUGUGGAAUUCCCAGUGUAGAGGUGAAAUUCGUAGAUAUUGGGAAGAACACCGGUGGCGAAGGCGGCAACCUGGCUCAUAACUGACGCUGAGGCGCGAAAGCGUGGGGAGCAAACAGGAUUAGAUACCCUGGUAGUCCACGCUGUAAACGAUGUGUGCUGGAUGUUGGGUGGCUUAGCCUCUCAGUGUCGUAGUUAACGCGAUAAGCACACCGCCUGGGGAGUACGGCCGCAAGGUUGAAACUUAAAGGAAUUGACGG